rnacentral:rRNA from 1 species
UGAAGUCAUUGAUGCCAUGCUUCCAGGAAAAGCCUCUAAGCUUCAGAUUGUAAGGAAUCGUACCCCAAACCGACACAGGUGGUCAGGUAGAGAAUACUAAGGCGCUUGAGAGAACUCGGGUGAAGGAACUAGGCAAAAUUGUACCGUAACUUCGGGAGAAGGUACGCUCCUAUCUGUGAUGAGACUUGCUCUCUAAGCGGACGGGAGCCGCAGUGACCAGGUGGCUGGGACUGUUUAUUAAAAACACAGCACUGUGCAAAAUCGUAAGAUGACGUAUAGGGUGUGACACCUGCCCGGUGCCGGAAGGUUAAUUGAUGGGGUUAGCUUCGGCGAAGCUCUUGAUCGAAGCCCCGGUAAACGGCGGCCGUAACUAUAACGGUCCUAAGGUAGCGAAAUUCCUUGUCGGGUAAGUUCCGACCUGCACGAAUGGUGUAACCAUGGCCACGCUGUCUCCACCCGAGACUCAGUGAAAUUGAAAUCGCAGUGAAGAUGCUGUGUACCCGCGGCUAGACGGAAAGACCCCGUGAACCUUUACUACAGCUUGGCACUGAACAUUGAGCCUACAUGUGUAGGAUAGGUGGGAGGCUUUGAAGCACAGUCGCUAGAUUGUGUGGAGCCGUCCUUGAAAUACCACCCUUGUAGUGUUGAUGUUCUAACCUAGGGCCCUUAUCGGGCUUGGGGACACUGUCUGGUGGGUAGUUUGACUGGGGCGGUCUCCUCCCAAAGAGUAACGGAGGAGCACGAAGGUUGGCUAAGUACGGUCGGACAUCGUACGGUUAGUGCAAUGGCAUAAGCCAGCUUAACUGCGAGACAGACACGUCGAGCAGGUGCGAAAGCAGGUCAUAGUGAUCCGGUGGUUCUGUAUGGAAGGGCCAUCGCUCAACGGAUAAAAGGUACUCCGGGGAUAACAGGCUGAUACCGCCCAAGAGUUCAUAUCGACGGCGGUGUUUGGCACCUCGAUGUCGGCUCAUCUCAUCCUGGGGCUGGA